AUUGAACGCUGGCGGCAUGCCUUACACAUGCAAGUCGAACGGUAACAGGUCUUCGGAUGCUGACGAGUGGCGAACGGGUGAGUAAUACAUCGGAACGUGCCCGAUCGUGGGGGAUAACGAGGCGAAAGCUUUGCUAAUACCGCAUACGAUCUACGGAUGAAAGCGGGGGAUCUUCGGACCUCGCGCGGGCGGAGCGGCCGAUGGCAGAUUAGGUAGUUGGUGGGAUAAAAGCUUACCAAGCCGACGAUCUGUAGCUGGUCUGAGAGGAUGAUCAGCCACACUGGGACUGAGACACGGCCCAGACUCCUACGGGAGGCGGCAGUGGGGAAUUUUGGACAAUGGGCGAAAGCCUGAUCCAGCCAUGCCGCGUGCAGGAUGAAGGCCUUCGGGUUGUAAACUGCUUUUGUACGGAACGAAAAGCCUCUUUCUAAUAAAGAGGGGUCAUGACGGUACCGGAAGAAUAAGCACCGGCUAACUACGUG
rnacentral:rRNA from 1 species